UGGGUAAGGCACCUACCUAGACUGUGUGCAUUGCAAACUGUUGCGGCCUUAAAUGGUAUUGACAUGGAACAUUACUUUUGCCCACCUCUUGAAGUAACGUGAAAAUAAUUUUUUGAAGACACAAGCUUAAAAGAUUACUGUUGAAGAGAAGGAAGAAAUAGAGAAUUUCAAUUAAGUGAUCUGCAACUUAAAAGAGUACUCAGUACUGUUCAAGAGAUGGGAAGAAUUAGAGUUACAAGUUUAAGAGAUACAUCAUGAAGAGUUUCAAGUCUCUAUUUAAACUCUCAUGAGUGCAAGGUCAGCAGCAAAUUAAACUAGUGCACUCUGCACCUGUCUAACUUAUUCUUGUCUUCAUCUCUUUCAGCAGCCAUGUAGAGAUCCAUAGUUUUACCAAUUUGAUACUGUGUGCUGUGAAAUACCUGUACCAUCUUUCUUAGAACAUAGCCUUUUUAUAGUGCACUCUGCACCUGUCUAACUUAUUCUUGUCUUCAUCUCUUUCAGCAGCCAUGUAGAGAUCCAUAGUUUUACCAAUUUGAUACUGUGUGCUGUGAAAUACCUGUACCAUCUUUCUUAGAACAUAGCCUUUUUAUCUUUGGAAGAUGAAUACAUAUCUUUAAGAGCUCAUAAAGAUUUUCCUUCUGUGCACUACAGGGAGCCUCGAGGGUUUGGAUUUGUCCAGUAUUAUG
rnacentral:lncRNA from 1 species